UGGGCAACCUGCCCUCAGCUCUGGGACAACCCCGGGAAACCGGGGCUAAUACCCGAUACUCCGAUCGAACCACAUGGCUCGAUCGGGAAAGCUCCGACGGUCUGGGAUGGGCCCGCGGCCUAUCAGCUUGUUGGUGGGGUAACGGCCUACCAAGGCAACGACGGGUAGCUGGUCUGAGAGGACGAUCAGCCACACUGGGACUGAGACACGGCCCAGACUCCUACGGGAG
rnacentral:rRNA from 1 species